UUGUCUUCUUCCUUAUGAGUCCAGCCACCACGAACCAGCAAGGCAUCUACAGGGCAGCAGUGCACCACUGCAUGUUUGCUCCCAAGGCUUUUUGGCAAGGGGAAGAACAUGCCAAGUCAUAGUUUGCUUCUUCCAUCCUCCAAUGAAGUGUUAAUGCAGUGGUAAGCAAUAUCUAAAGUACUCCCUCAUUCUUUCUUCUGCUUUCUAAGGAGGCAUUUUGGAAUAAAAUUGACUCCUUUCAGCUUCUUUCCAGAGGAAAUCAAGGCAGAACAUUGACCAAAGACAGCCUUGGCCAAAGGAGUGUCAGCUCCAUGUAAUAAGAACAAGAGUCACAGCAAGUGCAGGCAUGGAAGCAGCUGACAGCUUCAGGCAGGACAGGUAGAUGGAGGUUUUUUUUCCCUAGAGCAGACCAGCAAAUUCCAGCCAAGAAACCUUUCUUUUAUAUGCACAUUUAUAGGAGCGAUUCCAGUAGCAAGUGGUGUGCAUUUUGUGUGGAAUGGCUCCUGACAGCUGUGUUGUUUUACUUACUCCUUGUCUGUAUUUUUAAGUUUUUAAAACUCCUAAUAAUUCCAAAUGUCAGACAUUUUUCCUUUGAGACAGGGUGGAACAGUCUGGAAGUCAGGAAGGAGGCAGUGGUUCUUUUGAGCAUUCCCGUGAGUGAAUUUAAGACACAAAUGUAUGAUACAGCAAAACAAGACUUACUUACGGCAGAGAAAGAAGAGAUUGAGAAAGAGAGAGAAAGAGAAUGGAAAAGAGAGCUGGAGAGGUAAUUACCGCCCUGGGGUUCUUCUUCAGCAGGGUGGUGGUGGUGGGAGACUUUCCGGGGCUGUUGUCUCCAGCCUGAGAUGUCCCAGGCGAUGUUUCCCCAGCUCAGCUGGCAUAUACUGUUCAUGCUUCCUUUGUCGUAGCUGCACCUGGCCCACACCAUCAUCACAUUACGACGCAUAUGUGACUUCCCGAUGCCUCCCUGAGGGCUUUCAGGGAUCAGCGCUGAGUGACUGCAGUCUCUCUUAGCCACUACCAGCACAGCUGACACAUCAGGCAGGUCUUUCAGGGUGGUCGUUGUGGAGAUGCUUUUCAUGUUCCUAAUGUAAUGACCACCUUCACAAGGUGGUGAUUUUCAUGUUCAGGAGAAGAUUACCACACACCACAAGCUGGCCUGUCAAGUCUGUGUCCUCAGGAACUGCUGCACUGCCUUGAACCUCCAUUCUCCUUUACGGGCAUUGGCAGUGCCCUUGCAGGAAGCACUGCAAGCCCCUUUCUAGCUGGCCUGUCAAUACCUAUCAUGUGAGAUUGGGUCUGGCAAAAGCCACUGAUGCCUGAAGCACCUGCGUGAGAGCUACCAAGUGGCAUUCUAGUAACUGAGGAGACAGAAUAAACAUCGCACUUGGAACAUCAGAGUUCUGACUAAAUAAAGUAUUAUUCUUCUCUCCAA